GUUUCUAACUGUAAGAUAGUGGUGUAGGUGUUUCUAACUGUAAGAUAGUGGUGUAGGUGUUUCUAACUGUCAAGAUAGUGGUGUAGGUGUUUCUGUCAAGAUAGUGGUGUAGGUGUUUCUAACUGUCAAGAUAGUGGUGUAGGUGUUUCUAACUGUCAAGAUAGUGGUGUAGGUGUUUCUAACUGUCAAGAUAGUAGUGUAGGUGUUUCUAACUGUCAAGAUAGUAGUGUAGGUGUUUCUAACUGUAAGAUAGUGGUGUAGGUGUUUCUAACUGUCAAGAUAGUGGUGUAGGUGUUUCUAACUGUCAAGAUAGUGGUGUAGGUGUUUCUAACUGUCAAGAUAGUGGUGUAGGUGUUUCUGUCAAGAUAGUGGUGUAGGUGUUUCUAACUGUCAAGAUAGUGGUGUAGGUGUUUCUAACUGUCAAGAUAGUGGUGUAGGUGUUUCUAACUGUCAAGAUAGUGGUGUAGGUGUUUCUAACUGUCAAGAUAGUAGUGUAGG